UACGUAGGGUGCGAGCGUUAAUCGGAAUUACUGGGCGUAAAGGGUGCGCAGGCGGUUCUGCAAGUCAGGCGUGAAAGCCCCGGGCUUAACCUGGGAAUGGCGCUUGAAACGACAGGACUGGAGUAUGGCAGAGGGAGGUGGAAUUCCACGUGUAGCGGUGAAAUGCGUAGAGAUGUGGAGGAACACCGAUGGCGAAGGCGGAUCUCUGGGCCAUUACUGACGCUGAGGAGCGAAAGCGUGGGGAGCGAACAGG
rnacentral:rRNA from 1 species